rnacentral:rRNA from 1 species
UACGGGGGGGGCAAGCGUUGUUCGGAAUUACUGGGCGUAAAGGGCUCGUAGGCGGCCAACUAAGUCGGAUGUGAAAUCCCCAGGCUCAACCUGGGAACUGCAUCCGAUACUGGAUGGCUUGAAUUCGGGAGAGGGAUGCAGAAUUCCAGGUGUAGCGGUGAAAUGCGUAGAUAUCAGGAGGAACACCGGUGGUGUAGACGGCUUUCUGGACCGUAACUGACGCUGAGACACGAAAGCGUGGGUAGCAAACAGG